UAGAUUCUCAGCUUACUAAAGUGUGUGAAA
rnacentral:piRNA from 1 species